rnacentral:rRNA from 1 species
GUAACGGAGGAGCACGAAGGUUAGCUAAUCCUGGUCGGACAUCAGGAGGUUAGUGCAAUGGCAUAAGCUAGCUUGACUGCGAGCGUGACGGCGCGAGCAGGUGCGAAAGCAGGUCAUAGUGAUCCGGUGGUUCUGAAUGGAAGGGCCAUCGCUCAACGGAUAAAAGGUACUCCGGGGAUAACAGGCUGAUACCGUCCAAGAGUUCAUAUCGACGGCGGUGUUUGGCACCUCGAUGUCGGCUCAUCACAUCCUGGGGCUGAAGUAGGUCCCAAGGGUAUGGCUGUUCGCCAUUUAAAGUGGUACGCGAGCUGGGUUUAGAACGUCGUGAGACAGUUCGGUCCCUAUCUGCCGUGGGCGCUGGAGAAUUGAGGGGGGCUGCUCCUAGUACGAGAGGACCGGAGUGGACGCAUCACUGGUGUUCGGGUUGUCAUGCCAAUGGCAUUGCCCGGUAGCUAAAUGCGGAAGAGAUAAGUGCUGAAAGCAUCUAAGCACGAAACUUGCCCCGAGAUGAGUUCUCCCUGAGACUUUAAGUCUCCUGAAGGAACGUUGAAGACGACGACGUUGAUAGGCCGGGUGUGUAAGCGCAGCGAUGCGUUGAGCUAACCGGUACUAAUGAACCGUGAGGCUUAACCUU